UAUGAGUAGUUAGAUAAAGUAGGGGAGGUGGAGGGGAACCUCCAGAGUCAUGGUCAGUUCCAGGACAAGAUUAACAGAAUGACCGACUGCAUCCAGGUCACACAUCAGACCCUCAGUGGGAGAGAGGUCAGCCCUACAGAGAGCCAGACAUUCAGGCACUCAGUUUCGAUGUGCCCAUCAGAAGUACAGAUGGCCAGUCUGAUGAGUGAGGACCCCCACCACAACCCCCUGCAGUCCAGAGCUGGUGGCCCCCAUAGACCUGAACAAGACAGCCACAGAGCUGGCUGACUGGCUGCUGCUCAUCACCCAGAUGCUUAAGUCCAACAUCGUCACUGUGACGGAGAGUGACCUGGAGCUGCGUCAUCCCCAGCUGGAGAACAUCGUCACUCUGGCCCAGAACAUCAAGAACAAGACCUCCAACUUGAAUACCUCCGUCACUGUAACGGCGUUCAUCUGUUGAAGGAGAGUCGGACCAAA